GCGACGAUUUCUUCGGGCCUCUUUCCGACCCGUCUUGAAACACGGACCAAGGAGUCUAACAUGCGCGCGAGUCGCGGGGCAUCGAGCGUACCGCACGGUGCGCUCGUCAUAUGCGAAACCCGUCUCUGAAAGGCGUAAUGAAAGUGAACAGGGAAGAUGGCGUUCCGAGACCACGUACCGUGAUCGAGUGUCGCGGCCGGACGUCCGCACUCCCGGGGCGUCUCAAUGGCUCGUCGCGGACGCGGACGAUCGUCUCUCCGGGGACGGUGGUCGGUCUGCGUCGGACCGAGGCGCACCUACAGCGUGCACGUUGGUACCCGAAAGAUGGUGAACUAUGCCUGGCCAGGAUGAAGUCAGGGGAAACCCUGAUGGAGGUCCGCAGCGAUUCUGACGUGCAAAUCGAUCGU
rnacentral:rRNA from 1 species